rnacentral:rRNA from 1 species
GGAAUCUUGCGCAAUGGGCGAAAGCCUGACGCAGCAACGCCGCGUGCGGGAAGAAGGCCUUCGGGUUGUAAACCGCUUUCAGCAGGAAAGAAAAUGACGGUACCUGCAGAAGAAGGUGCGGCCAACUACGUGCCAGCAGCCGCGGUGACACGUAGGCACCAAGCGUUGUCCGGAUUUAUUGGGCGUAAAGAGCUCGUAGGCGGUUCAGUAAGUCGGGUGUGAAAACUUUGGGCCUAACCCAAAGCCUGCACUCGAAACUGCUGUGACUAGAGUUCGGUAGGGGAGCGGGGAAUUCCUGGUGUAGCGGUGAAAUGCGCAGAUAUCAGGAGGAACACCGGUGGCGAAGGCGCCGCUCUGGGCCGACACUGACGCUGAGGAGCGAAAGCGUGGGUAGCAAACAGGAUUAGAUACCCUGGUAGUCCACGCCGUAAACGUUGGGCACUAGGUGUGGGUCUCUGCUAACGAGAUCCGCGCCGUCGCUAACGCAUUAAGUGCCCCGCCUGGGGAGUACGGUCGCAAGACUAAAACUCAAAGGAAUUGACGG